rnacentral:rRNA from 1 species
AUUGAACGCUGGCGGCAUGCCUUACACAUGCAAGUCGAACGGUAACGGGCCUUCGGGUGCCGACGAGUGGCGAACGGGUGAGUAAUACAUCGGAACGUGCCCGAUCGUGGGGGAUAACGAGGCGAAAGCUUUGCUAAUACCGCACACGAUCUACGGAUGAAAGCAGGGGACCGCAAGGCCUUGCGCGGACGGAGCGGCCGAUGGCAGAUUAGGUAGUUGGCGGGAUAAAAGCUUACCAAGCCGACGAUCUGUAGCUGGUCUGAGAGGAUGAUCAGCCACACUGGGACUGAGACACGGCCCAGACUCCUACGGGAGGCAGCAGUGGGGAAUUUUGGACAAUGGGCGCAAGCCUGAUCCAGCCAUGCCGCGUGCAGGAUGAAGGCCUUCGGGUUGUAAACUGCUUUUGUACGGAACGAAAAGCCUUCUUUUAAUACAGGAGGGUCAUGACGGUACCGUAAGAAUAAGCACCGGCUAACUACGUG